GGAGAGAAAAGCAAGGAGAGAGAGUGUGAGUGUAAGAGAAAGCGAAGAAGCCACUCUUGAGAAAAGCUUGCCAUAAAGGAGCUAAACCCACCUGAAAUUCCUACCCACGGACACCCCUUCUCACUUCAGACUCACAUCCCCACUCAAAAUGAGAAAAUUAGAAAAGGAGGAUGGAGGACGAGCACACCAAAAAGGGAUAAAAAGAGAGAAAAGGGGAGGAAAAAAAACCUACCUGCGAAGUCUUGUUUGUAGUUUUGGCCAGAAAUGGUGAGAAGAAAAAGCAUGAAGAAGCCGCGAAGUGUGGGGGAGAAAAAGGUGGAAGCGAAGAAACAGCUCCCGGAGCAAACUGUACAAAAACCUCGCCAAGAGUGUCGGGAGGCAGGACCGUUAUUCCUGCAGAGCAGGAGAGAGACGAGAGACCCUGAAACACGCGCCACCUAUCUUUGUGGGGAGGGAUAAUUGAAGCGCCCUGAGCGUGAGCAUCAUGUGAAAACGUGAUCGCCAAGUUUCUCUCUGGGAAAGGAUCUGGGAUAGAUUAUACCUUGAAGUCUCCGCAAACGCUUUAGUGGAAGAAAUGAAAUUCCACCUCCCUCCCUUCCUCCUCUCCCUCCCUUUCGCCUUCGCCUCCCUCCCC
rnacentral:lncRNA from 10 species